UCUUCGGUAGUAUAGUGGUGAGUAUAUUCGCCUGUCAUCCAACUUGAAUCAUUACUCUGACAGAACCGCGAAUGACCCGGGUUCAAUUCCCGGCCGGAGAG
rnacentral:tRNA from 1 species